UACCUUUCAAAUGAAUACUCUCGCGCCUUUCAAAAGCUUCCCAUCAUGGCGGCUGCAAUUUUGAGUGGUUCCUGGGGAAAUGGUGCAGUGAAUGAGAGCAUCUGACACCCCUUGGACGCUGGUUGAUGUCUGUGGUUGCUGAUCUCCCCCAGGAGGACCCCAUGGUCUGGCUGCGAGCUCCAGACCAGCUCUUGGACCGGUUCUCUGACAACUUCAAGGCAAAGGGAACCAGCCUGGAUGACAUGAGUGCUGUUGAACCACAUCAAACCAAUGAUCUGAUCCUUAACAGCAAACAGCCCCUGGUCUUUUUAAAGGCAGAAAAAAAAAAAAAGAAAAAAGUCCUGUAACACGAAGGCAGAAAUGAAGGUGCGUGACUCAAAAUCGCACUAUCUGGAAAUUCAAUGAGCGGAUUCUUUUGUCCACAAAUUCCUCGCCCUUUCAACGAUCAAAAACGAUGGCUAUGUCAAAGACGAGAGAUGGGACUCUUCUUCUUAAAUGUGCAAAUGGAGAUUGGAGACCCCAGUUCACCAAACACAUUGAGCCCUGGUGGUGUUCAGGUUUCAUGAUUUGGUCAAGCCAGGGAAACAACCGGCUCUGGAUUUUCAAGGAACCAGGAUUUAGAGGCCAGAUGCUCCUAUAGAGAACAGGACUCCUCAGCCUUGCCUUGUCCCACCCAUUGAAUCGGAACCCCUUGGCCGUGAAGUCUGAAUUCACUGCAUCUCUUUGAACAACAUACUUGGAUUUUGGCCACACCCUCA